UAGAGAUGUCAAUGUGUACAAAUAUUUAAAAUUUUAUUCGAAUUCAAAUCUGAACCCGAACAGAGUAGAUUUAUCUGAUACUAACUUAAUAUAGCUUCGAAUAUGAUAUCAAAAAACGAAAACCCGUAGAUUUGAAUUCGGAUAAAGAUCUUGACUGUACUCAGUCGAACCCAAAUUGAUUUCAAAUUUUAUAUAUAUAUAUAUAUAUAUAUAUAGAGAGAGAGAGAGAGAGAGAGAGAGAGAGAGAGAGAGAGAGAGAGAGAGAGAAUUAGGCUUCUAUAGAUACUAUCUAUAGUACCAGAGUUCCGGUACUGUAGCCUUGUUCUCGGCUUUAGAAUGUUCAGAUUAAUGAUCCACACCGUUAAAGCUAAUUUAGAUUUUUUGAAACCUUUAAGAAUAACUUAUUUAGAUUAUUUGAAACUUUUAGGAAUAAAAUUUUAUUUUUUUUCAAUAUAGUUACUUUAUGAUCAAACUGUUUCAAAAUUGUCAAACUUUAAUAGUUACUAUGGCGAGUUUGUAAUUUAAUGAUGUGGAAGAAUUUAAAUUUAUUCAAAUUUUAAUAGAAAAUACUUUAAACUAUCUAGAUUAAGGUCAACAUCCUCGAUCUUGAAUUCAAAGGUCAUAUUCUCAAAUUUUAAAAAUUGUUUAAUUUUCACCGUUCAUUUUGACAUGAUUACUUACUAAGUAAACGAUAUCGAAAAAAAACUAAAAUUUUAUUGUAAGAACUCCAUAUACCCUAAAUCAUAUUUAACAGUAUGGAUUGUUAAUUUGAAAAUCCUAAGAUCGAAAACAAAACCAUAGUACCAAAGCUCUCCAACUAUAAAUAGUAUAGUAGCCUCUCUCUCUCUCUCUCUCUCUCUCUCUCUCUCUCUAUAUAUAUAUAUAUAGAGAGAGCUAGCUGGUAUACUAUUGGUGGCUCCAUGCUACCAAGUUGUUUUCAAUGAUGCGGCUUCCAAAUCGACAAUUGGCUCUAUUAUACUUGAUUUACACUAUUGAAAGCAUUUGGAAACUAAAUUUCAUAAUUUUUCGGCAUCAUUUACCUAUCAAACAAAUAGUCUAAAAAUAAACGACUGAAAAUAAAAAUCUUAUAAAAUGAUGAUAAAAUAUUUGAAUUUAAGAUCAGAGGUACUGAUCUUACUCUAAAUAAUAAAAAGAAUUUUCUAUAAAAAUUCUAUCAUAUUUGGAUUGUUUUACACCGUUAAAUUCACAAACGCAUCACAUCUGCCAUUAAAAUUGUCAAUUUUGAGACCUUUUGAUCACUAUCCAAAUGAUGUCGAAAAAUUAUGAAAUUUAAUUUUCAAAUACUGUAGAACAAGUCUAACGGAGCCGAUCGUCAAUUUGGAAGCUGCAUCAUUGAAAACAACUUGGUAGCGCGGAGGCCUCCGUGCUACCGAUAGUAUACCAGCCUAGCUCUCUCUCUGUCACGCCCCGGGACCCAACGAAAGCCCGCUCGGUGCGUGUCCAGACCCGCCAUAUGCCUAUAACAUAUAAGGCGUUUACAACAAAGCGAUAAGUAAAACAAUAAUAAAUGAGCAUCUAGGAGUAUCAGAGCAUACAACAAUUAGAUUCUAGAAUAGGGAGGUAAAUAAAUG
rnacentral:lncRNA from 1 species